UACGUAGGGUGCAAGCGUUGUCCGGAAUUAUUGGGCGUAAAGGGCUCGUAGGCGGUCCAUCGCGUCGGGAGUGAAAAGCUGGGGCUUAACCCCAGUCCUGCUUCCGAUACGGGUGGACUAGAGGUAGGCAGGGGAGAACGGAAUUCCUGGUGUAGCGGUGAAAUGCGCAGAUAUCAGGAGGAACACCGGUGGCGAAGGCGGUUCUCUAGUACGGUACUGACGCUGAGACGCGAAAGCGUGGGGAGCGAACAGG
rnacentral:rRNA from 1 species